rnacentral:rRNA from 1 species
AACGAACGCUGGCGGCAUGCCUAACACAUGCAAGUCGAACGAGACCUUCGGGUCUAGUGGCGCACGGGUGCGUAACGCGUGGGAACCUGCCCUUAGGUUCGGAAUAACUCCCCGAAAGGGGUGCUAAUACCGGAUAAUGUCUUCGGACCAAAGAUUUAUCGCCUUUGGAUGGGCCCGCGUUGGUUUAGCUAGUUGGUAGGGUAAAAGCCUACCAAGGCGACGAUACAUAGCUGGUCUGAGAGGAUGAUCAGCCACACUGGGACUGAGACACGGCCCAGACUCCUACGGGAGGCAGCAGUGGGGAAUAUUGGACAAUGGGCGAAAGCCUGAUCCAGCAAUGCCGCGUGAGUGAUGAAGGCCUUAGGGUUGUAAAGCUCUUUUACCCGGGAUGAUAAUGACAGUACCGGGAGAAUAAGCUCCGGCUAACUCCGUG